AGGUGAGAAAGGUGCCACACUGGCAAGCCAGACAAGUGUACAGUUGCAUUUUAGAUGAAGAGCAGCAAGAUAUUGAGAUGUACUGAAAACAUCCAACAGUAUAUGGUUCUUCUCUAAAUGGAAGUUCUUAUUUCUGACUUGUAGGAACCAAGAAACAACAUAUUCUGCAGAACAAAGGAAAUAUUCCUUCUUCUAGGGCAGAGUUUCUCAAAGAUAUCUUGAAUAAUCUCAGUGAAGAUCCAGGGUCUCAGGAGAUCAUUUAUAACUCUUUAAUAAGGAAAAGGCUUCCACUCUGCAGUCACACAUUUUGAAUGUAUAACCACACAGAUGAAAAUGUUUACCUCUUAAGUCCUUCACAGCAUUGCAGAUAUUUUUGAAAACAGAGAAAGGAAGCAAAGAAGGCACGGACACAGAAUGACAGAGCUCCAUGGUUUUGUUCAGAUUGCUAAUCAUAUUUCAAACCAGAACCACCUGCUGAAGACCUGCAGAAACAAAAGUGGAAGAAUUCUUAAUGUCCUAAUUUGAGAGGAGGUUAUAGCACAAUAUUAUUAAGAUCAAACUGCUUCAUGCUUGAAAUCAAGAACAAACCACUCUGACAAAAAAGGGGAAACUCUUGCAGCCCAGCAGUGAUGAAUCUUGAUGUUCUCAGCUGCUAAACAGACCUGAGCAUUGGCCCAGAGAGAAACAGUCUCAGUAACCACUGCUUUUCCAGCAGCAGCUGUGAGCCUGCCCACUGCUUGAUGUGUAAUGCAUUUGUCAUACAGCUUGGGCUGAGAGAAGUCAAACAGAGUAAAAAUCUAUUGUCUGAAGCUUCAAGCAGAAGGGAGGUAACUACUUAACUUCUCUCCUGAUGCUGAUGUGAGCACAGCAUGAACUGUUCAUAGGUGGUGAUUGAUAAGAGGAUUUGUGGUGGGGCUCCUUACCUGAGGUGAGGUUUUUAUUGUAACACCAGGUAAGCAAACAUUAUUAGAGGGGUGGAUUUGAUAUUGCAGUGCUUGAAGCUUUCUUAGAAAAAUGUAUUAAAGCAAAGUGAUUGUGGAGUGAGGGACAGACAAAGAGAGUGGAUUUUAGCACAUUCUUUUAGAGGGAUUGAAAAAAACCCUUCCGUUCCCAAGCACUCUGAGUAAUGCAUGGCUCUUUUGGGUCAUUGGCUUCAGCUGUUUGGAAAACACUGGGUCUUACUAAGACUUUGUGCUAGUCAGGUGGCAAUGUGGACAAUCAUCUGGCAAAGAGAUCCACAAUUUUCACUGUAAUUA